GCACAACUCAUUUACUUUACUAAAUUAUAUUGAAGAAAAAAAAAUCUUUACUAAAUUAUAAGGAGGAAAUUAUAAUUUACUCAUAAUUAAAUUUUCAAGGGAGGAAAGGAAGAAGACAAACCUGCGAAUGAAACAUGUGGCGGCUGCUUUGACGCCUGAAGAUGAUCCUUCAUUCUCUUGGCCAUUAGCAGUAGAGCCGCUUCAUACUUGCUCACCAAAUCCUCCAACACCCAUCCUUCCACAGGAUCCACCUGAAACCACCACUCAAUUAUACAUCCACCACCUUCAACCGGAACAAUCCUAACCGUCGAAACGUAUGAUUUGAACCCGAUGUUGCUGUCCACUAUCGCAUAUCUAAGGCUGCAUUCCUCGUUAUCAACGGCUUCCAGUCUCUCCGUGGACCAGCUAACGGGGAGUUGGUAGUUGUCACUGGAGCUGCCUUUGGAUGGAAUUUUGGUGCCAAAGCAGUAGCGUAUGCAGCCGGGCUUGCCGUUAGUGCCGGAGAUGCCAUAGCAGGUUUGGAGGGUAGGAAGCCAUUUGUGGAGGUUGAAGAAGUCGGUGAAAAGAGGCCAUAUUUGGAGUGGUUGGGCAUUUGUUAAUUUUGCAGUGACUUUUGCUUCCCAUUUAGGCUGCUGGUUUUGCUCAAUCGCCAUUGGAACUCAAAUUCGCAGUGGCUUGUCCUUCAUAUGCAUCUACUGCACUUUCUGACACAUUAUAAUCUUUCUGAUUGCUUG
rnacentral:misc_RNA from 1 species